CUUUGGGAUUCAUCCCGAAGUGAGUCUCGCUCCAGUUUUCGGGCAUUAAGGACAUCUUCCACAUUGGUGUUUCGGAACAGAACUACAGAAACAGCUCCAAAUAAUGAUGGACUGAUCAAGAAGCUGGUACCAAGAAGUCUCAAAGUUAUUUCAACAGCUUCAUGGAGUGUUUAGAAACUUCCCAGCUUGAACUUCCAAGCUUCCUCACAGGCUGUGUUAAAGUUUUCCCAUUUAUAAGCCAAUCUUGCCAGAAGAGGCUCUGGAACUCAAAUGGGUUACUGCCAGAAGAAUCUGGGACAGCUGCACUAGUGUUAUAUUUCAACCAUGUACCCAAUCUAUGAACUGCUUCCACCAAAUGGUCACUCUGUCACCCAAGCUGGAGUGCAGUGGCACAAUCA
rnacentral:lncRNA from 1 species